rnacentral:rRNA from 1 species
UACGUAGGGUGCAAGCGUUAAUCGGAAUUACUGGGCGUAAAGCGUGCGCAGGCGGUUAUGCAAGACAGGUGUGAAAUCCCCGAGCUCAACUUGGGAACUGCAUUUGUGACUGCAUAGCUAGAGUACGGUAGAGGGGAGUGGAAUUCCGCGUGUAGCAGUGAAAUGCGUAGAUAUGCGGAGGAACACCGAUGGCGAAGGCAGCUCCCUGGACCUGUACUGACGCUCAUGCACGAAAGCGUGGGGAGCAAAC